rnacentral:rRNA from 1 species
UACGUAGGAUGCGAGCGUUGUCCGGAAUUACUGGGCGUAAAGAGCGCGUAGGCGGUUUCCCGCGUGGGUUGUGAAAGCCCCUGGCUUACCUAGGGGAGUGCAGUUCAGACGGGGAAACUAGAGGGCGGUAGGGGCUGGCGGAAUGCCUGGAGUAGCGGUGAAAUGCGUUGAGAUCAGGCAGAACACCAGUGGCGAAGGCGGCCAGCUGGGCCGUACCUGACGCUGAGGCGCGAAAGCUAGGGGAGCGAACGGA